AGUGAAGAACAAUUCUAGUCCUUCUCGGCUGUCGGCAGAGGACCGGAGCGUUCCAAAGGCUGCGCCGGCUCUAAAAGCCAACGUUGCAUCUCACAGGGUCCUUUUUACUCCUUACCUGCUGCCCAUGCUCAGAACCAGAUAUGUGAGACCCUGCUCUGGUCCAGAGCCAGAUGUGAGACCCUGCUCUGGUCCAGAGCCAUGUGAGACGCGACCGCGGCUCUUUCAAUAAUUCAUGUGAAAGAUGUCUCAAAAUUGCUGCUUGUUUUCUGCAUACUUGCUCUUUGCUGUUCCCUUCCCCAACCAGUGUUUGUGCCAUCGUUUUGUGCUCCUUGUUUUAAUCCCCGAAGUGAUGUCAAAGUAAUGCUGUGGCAAUUCUGGUAGAUUUUAGCAGGAAUGUCUUAACAGCUGGUGGUUCUUGAAACUGCAGGCCGGAGACUUGGUGAUUCAGAGGCUCUCAACAGGUUUAACAAACGCAGGGGUUUUGUCUUUCAAAUGUAUGAGCUCACAAGAGAACAUUGCCACUAAAUAAGAGUUUAGUUGUUAUUCCAAACAAUCCACUGGUCUUUUGGACAGCCUGGAAGCCUUGUCCUGACCUUUAAGCCCUGGCAUUUAGCAACACAAAGUUAAGGUGGAUUACAUAAGGCCCCCAUCGCACAAACAGCCACUCUAGUUUAGGGAACACGGGUAAGCUUGUAAAGUCACAGCAACCUGAUCAAAGUGAGUACAAAUCCCUACCUUCAGGGCUAAAUUUGUUCUGACAUUGUCUUGUUAAACAGUGAAACCGUAGCAGAUAAGAGGAGCAGAAAGCUGCUGGCUGGGACAAUAGUGCAGAGUUACUGGGAGAAGUGCAGUCUUUCCCAUGGCCCUUCUUAGGGUGGCAGACAAGGAUUUCUUGUACCAGACAAGGAUCUCUGGUGGCAGACAAGGAUCUCUGGUAGCAGACACUGGGACUGCAGCAGAGCUCCAUGCCCAGCACAGGACUGAGCUCCUCCAACAUGGACAUUUUGGCUUCCAUGAUCCUUGGGCUCCUUCCAGCUCAGGGUUUCUAUUCCGUGACCAGUUUGAGGGAAGGAGCAUUAGAACAAGGUUGAAUUGGAGGUGGAAUGACAAGAGAGAGACCCUGCAGGAGCAGGAUAGUGAACUGCUCAUUCAAAAGCCAAA